AUACGGAGGGUGCAAGCGUUAUUCGGAAUCACUGGGCGUAAAGGACGCGUAGGCGGGUUGGCAAGUCAGAUGUAAAAUCCUACAGCUUAACUGUAGAGCUGCAUUUGAAACUGCUAACCUAGAGUAUGGGAGGGGGAGAUGGAAUUAGUGGUGUAGGGGUAAAAUCCGUAGAUAUCACUAGGAAUACCGAAAGCGAAGGCGAUCUCCUGGAACAUAACUGACGCUAAGGCGUGAAAGCGUGGGGAGCAAACAGGAUUAGAAACCCCAGUAGUCC
rnacentral:rRNA from 1 species